rnacentral:rRNA from 1 species
AGGGGGCGGCCUAAAACAUGCAAGUCGAACGCCGUAGCAAUACGGAGUGGCAGACGGGUGAGUAACACGUGGGAACGUGCCUUUUGGUUCGGAACAACUGAGGGAAACUUCAGCUAAUACCGGAUAAGCCCUUCGGGGGAAAGAUUUAUCGCCAGAAGAUCGGCCGCGUCUGAUUAGCUAGUUGGUGAGGUAACGGUCACCAAGGCUACGAUCAGUAGCUGGUCUGAGAGGAUGAUCAGCCACACUGGGACUGAGACACGGCCCAGACUCCUACGGGAGGCAGCAGUUAGGAAUCUUGGACAAUGGGCGCAAGCCUGAUCCAGCCAUGCCGCGUGAGUGAUGAAGGCCUUAGGGUUGUAAAGCUCUUUCAGCGGGGAAGAUAAUGACGGUACCCGCAGAAGAAGCCCCGGCUAACUUCGUGCCAGCAGCCGCGGUAAUACGAAGGGGGCUAGCGUUGCUCGGAAUCACUGGGCGUAAAGCGCACGUAGGCGGCUUUCUAAGUCAGGGGUGAAAUCCUGGAGCUCAACUCCAGAACUGCCUUUGAUACUGGAGAGCUCGAGUCCGGGAGAGGUGAGUGGAACUCCGAGUGUACGAGGUGAAAUUCGUAGAUCAUUCCGGAAGGAACAACCAGUUGGGGAAAGGGCGGGUCAACUU